GAUGAACGCUGGCGGCGGGCUUAACACAUGCAAGUCGAACGAAGCACUUUAUUUGAUUUCCUUCGGGACUGAUUAUUUUGUGACUGAGUGGCGGACGGGUGAGUAACGCGGGGGUAACCUGCCUUGUACAGGGGGAUAACAGUUGGAAACGGCUGCGAAUACCGCAUAAGCGCACAGCAUCGCAUGAUUCAGUGUGAAAAACUCCGGUGGUAUAAGAUGGACCCGCGUUGGAUUAGCUAGUUGGUGAGGUAACGGCCCACCAAGGCGACGAUCCAUAGCCGACCUGAGAGGGUGACCGGCCACAUUGGGACUGAGACACGGCCCAAAAUACUACGGGAGGCAGCAGUGGGGAAUAUUGCACAAUGGGCGAAAGCCUGAUGCAGCGACGCCGCGUGAGCGAAGAAGUAUUUCGGUAUGUAAAGCUCUAUAAGCAGGGAAGAUAAUGACGGUACCUGACGAAGAAGCACCGGCUAAAUACGUG
rnacentral:rRNA from 1 species